AACGAACGCUGGCGGCAGGCUUAACACAUGCAAGUCGAACGCCCCGCAAGGGGAGUGGCAGACGGGUGAGUAACGCGUGGGAAUCUACCCAGUUCUGCGGAACAACAGUUGGAAACGACUGCUAAUACCGUAUACGCCCUACGGGGGAAAGAUUUAUCGGAUUUGGAUGAGCCCGCGUAAGAUUAGCUAGUUGGUGGGGUAAUGGCCUACCAAGGCGACGAUCUUUAGCUGGUCUGAGAGGAUGAUCAGCCACACUGGGACUGAGACACGGCCCAGACUCCUACGGGAGGCAGCAGUGGGGAAUAUUGGACAAUGGGCGCAAGCCUGAUCCAGCCAUGCCGCGUGGGUGAUGAAGGCCUUAGGGUUGUAAAGCUCUUUCAGUAGGGAAGAUAAUGACGGUACCUACAGAAGAAGCCCCGGCUAACUUCGUGCCAGCCGCCGCGGUAACAC
rnacentral:rRNA from 1 species